ACUCCUACGGGUGGCUGCAGUGGGGAAUAUUGGACAAUGGGGGCAACCCUGAUCCAGCAAUGCCGCGUGUGUGAAGAAGGCCUUAGGGUUGUAAAGCACUUUCGUUAGUGAAGAAAGGUUUAUGGCUAAUACCUAUGAAUUUGACAUUAGCUAAAGAAGAAGCACCGGCUAACUCCGUGCCAGCAGCCGCGGUAAUACGGAGGGUGCAAGCGUUAUUCGGAAUGACUGGGCGUAAAGCGCACGCAGGCGGUUAUUUAAGUCAGAUGUGAAAGCCCCGGGCUUAACCUGGGAAUUGCAUUUGAAACUGGGUAACUAGAGUAUGUCAGAGGAAGGCGGAAUUUCCAGUGUAGCAGUGAAAUGCGUAGAGAUUGGAAGGAACACCGAUGGCGAAGGCAGCCUUCUGGGGCAAUACUGACGCUCAUGUGCGAAAGCGUGGGUAGCAAACAGGAUUAGAUACCCUGGUAGUCCACGCCCUAAACGAUGUCAACUAGGUGUUGGGCACUUAAGUGCUCGGUACCGCAGCUAACGCAUUAAGUUGACCGCCUGGGGAGUACGGCCGCAAGGUUGAAACUCAAAGAAAUUGACGGGGACCCGCACAAGCGGUGGAGCAUGUGGUUUAAUUCGAUGCAACGCGAAGAACCUUACCAGGCCUUGACAUCCAGAGAACUAAGCAGAGAUGCUAUGGUGCCUUCGGGAACUCUGAGACAGGUGAUGCAUGGUGUCGUCAGCUCGUG
rnacentral:rRNA from 1 species